rnacentral:rRNA from 1 species
GACGAACCGUGCGACCGUUGUUCGGAAUCACUGGGCUUAAAGGGAGCGUAGGCGGGCUAACAAGUCUGGGGUGAAAUGCCGCGGCUCAACCGUGGAACUGCCUCAGAUACUGUCGGCCUCGAGGGAGAUAGGGGCAUGCGGAACUAACGGUGGAGCGGCGAAAUGCGUUGAUAUCGUUAGGAACUCCGGUGGCGAAAGCGGCGUGCUGGAUCUCUUCUGACGCUGAGGCUCGAAAGCUAGGGGAGCAAACGGG